rnacentral:rRNA from 1 species
GACAGAGGGGGCAAACGUUGCUCGGAAUCACUGGGCGUAAAGGGCGCGUAGGCGGGAUGGCAAGUCGGUCGUGAAAUCCUUCGGCUCAACCGAAGAACGUCGGCCGAUACUGCCGUUCUUGAGGGAUGCAGAGGAGAUUGGAAUUCCCGGUGUAGCGGUGAAAUGUGUAGAGAUCGGGAGGAACACCGGUGGCGAAGGCGGGUCUCUGGGCAUCUCCUGACGCUGAGGCGCGAAAGCGUGGGGAGCAAACGGG